UACAGAGGGUGCGAGCGUUGUCCGGAAUCACUGGGCGUAAAGGGCGCGUAGGUGGCGCUGCAAGUCGGUGGUGAAAGCUCGAUGCUUAACAUCGAGUCGGCCAUCGAAACUGCAGGGCUCGAGCACUGUAGGGGCAGAUGGAAUUCCGGGUGGUAGCGGUGGAAUGCGUAGAGAUCCGGAAGAACACCAGUGGCGAAGGCGGUCGUGCUGGGCAGUAGCUGACACUGAUGCGCGACAGCGUGGGGAGCAAACAGG
rnacentral:rRNA from 1 species